GACCAGACUCCUACGGGAGGCAGCAGGGGGGAAUAUUGGACAAUGGGGGGAACCCUGAUGCAGCGACGCCGCGUGAGUGAAGAAGUAUUUCGGUAUGUAAAGCUCUAUCAGCAGGGAAGAAGUUGACGGUACCUGAGUAAGAAGCCCCGGCUAACUACGUGCCAGCAGCCGCGGUAAUACGUAGGGGGCAAGCGUUAUCCGGAUUUACUGGGUGUAAAGGGAGCGUAGACGGCAGGGCAAGUCUGAAGUGAAAGCCCGGGGCCCAACCCCGGGACUGCUUUGGAAACUGUCCGGCUGGAGUGCAGGAGGGGUGGGCGGAAUUCCUAGUGUAGCGGUGAAAUGCGUAGAUAUUAGGAGGAACACCGGCGGCGAAGGCGGCCCACUGGACUGUAACUGACGUUGAGGCUCGAAAGCGUGGGGAGCAAACAGGAUUAGAUACCCCAGUAU
rnacentral:rRNA from 1 species